rnacentral:rRNA from 1 species
ACAAGUAGAUUGGUGCACGUGUGAGCACCUCCCCUCCUAAUCUACCUUUNCAUUGGGAAUAACCACCGGAAACGGUGGCUAAUACCGAAUAAUGCAGCGGCACCUAAUGGUGACAGUUGUUAAAGCGGGGGAUCGCAAGACCUCGCGUCUGAAGAGGAGCCUGCGGCAGAUUAGCUAGUUGGUAUGGUAACGGCUUACCAAGACAAAGAUCUGUAGCCGGCCUGAGAGGGCGGUCGGCCACACNGAUACCGACAUAC